rnacentral:lncRNA from 1 species
CAUUGGGAAUGGAGGGAAAUAAAUGACUGGAUGGUCGCUGCUUUUUAAGUUUCAAAUUGACAUUCCAGACAAGCGGUGCCUGAGCCCGUGCCUGUCUUCAGAUCUUCACAGCACAGUUCCUGGGAAGGUGGAGCCACCAGCCUCUCCCUGUCCUGGAGGCUGGAAGUGCAAAAGGAAGGUGUCGGCAAGAUCGUUUUUUUCUGAGAGCUCUCUCCUUGGCUUGCAGAUGGCAGCUUGCUCCUGGCACAGUCUUUUCUCUACUCACGCCCAAAGUUACGGAGGACCCAGCAACCAUCUCCUGCAGCCCCUGAAAACCUCUUGACUCUUCUGUGAUGUCCCCAGUGAUCCAGCAGCCCCGGCCUUCUUUUGAUGGCUUGAACAUUUGGUCUUCAUUGAACAGUUUGUAUAUUGGAAACUUGCCAGCCUCCAUCCACAUUCCAACCUCCGUCUGCAUCCCUCGAAUAACUGGGAGAUGAAACAGGAAGCUCUAUGACACACUUGAUCGAAUAUGACAGACACUGAAAAUCACGACUCAUCCCCCUCCAGCACCUCUACCUGUUGCCCGCCGAUCACAGCCGGAAUGCAGCUGAAAGAUUCCCUGGGGCCUGGUUCCAACUGCCCACUGUGGACUCUGAGGCCUCUGCAUUUGCGGGUGGUCUGCCUGUGAUAUUUUGGUCAUGGGCUGGUCUGGUCGGUUUCCCAUUUGUCUGGCCAGUCUCUGUGUGUCUUAAUCCCUUGUCCUUCAUUAAAAGCAAAACU